UACAGGGGGGGCAAGCGUUGUUCGGAAUUACUGGGCGUAAAGGGCUCGUAGGUGGCCAACUAAGUCAGACGUGAAAUCCCUCAGCUUAACUGGGGAACUGCGUCUGAUACUGGAUGGUUUGAGUUUGGGAGAGGGAUGCGGAAUUCCAGGUGUAGCGGUGAAAUGCGUAGAUAUCUGGAGGAACACCGGUGGCGAAGGCGGCAUCCUGGACCAACACUGACACUGAGGAGCGAAAGCCAGGGGAGCAAACGGG
rnacentral:rRNA from 1 species